GAUCUCUCCUCCUGCUGACUGAGAAAAUGUCAGAUGGGAGCCCUCCCCACUCCCUGCCAGCAUCUAUGUGCUUACAGGUCACUUGCAGCAGAACCACCUGGGGGCUCCCGGUUACUCAUGAAAAGUCUCAAGCCACCCUCCUGCCUUGCCCCGUGAACUCCAGUCGGCAUUUUUAACAAGAUCCCAGGUGAUUUGCAGGCACAGGACAGCUGGAAAGGCAUCAAAGAUGGAAGAAACCUGUGAAGUUGGCCUUAUUUCUUUGUAAGUCAGUCACUUGUUCAUUUCAUCUAAAUGAUGGUAGGAUUCCAUAUUUCUGAACUAAUCUGUCAACAGAAUAUGGUUAGCAUGUGACUCUGUUUGCAUGUACUAUAUAACAAGAAUAUAACUGGUUUGUUUCUUUUUGUUAUUUUUUGCCUAAGAAUUAGAGAAUGCUUUGGAUGCAUAAGUUCAAAUCUUUCCUAAACUCCAGAAACUUUUUUUCAUAUAUCUUUGAAAAUAUUUUUGCUUAUUUUAUUUUGUCUCUAAGGAAUGCUAACUGUCCUAUAUUAUCAAAUUUCCACUGUCUACUCUUCAUCUCUCCUACUUCUGAUUAUGUAUCUCCUUGUUCUCCUGCUCUGCAUGGUGGGCAAUUUUUAUCAAAACCAUCUUCAUCAUACAAUUCAAUUUUUGGAGCUCUGAUUAUUCUUUUUCUUGCUUCUCAUUGCUGCUAUAAACUCUAAAGUAAAAUUUUGUCUCUCCUACCUUCU